rnacentral:rRNA from 1 species
UAGGGAAUCUUCGGCAAUGGGGGGAACCCCGACCGAGCAACGCCGCGUGAGUGAAGAAGGUUUUCGGAUCGUAAAGCUCUGUUGUUAAGGAAGAACGAGUGUGAGAAUGGAAAGUUCAUGCUGUGACGGUACUUAACCAGAAAGGGACGGCUAACUACGUGCCAGCAGCCGCGGUAAUACGUAGGUCCCGAGCGUUGUCCGGAUUUAUUGGGCGUAAAGCGAGCGCAGGCGGUUAGAAAAGUCUGAAGUGAAAGGCAGUGGCUCAACCAUUGUAGGCUUUGGAAACUGUUUAACUUGAGUGCAGAAGGGGAGAGUGGAAUUCCAUGUGUAGCGGUGAAAUGCGUAGAUAUAUGGAGGAACACCGGUCGCGAAAGCGGCUCUCUGGUCUGUAACUGACGCUGAGGCUCGAAAGCGUGGGGAGCGAACAGG